UACAGAGGGUGCGAGCGUUGUUCGGAAUUACUGGGCGUAAAGCGUGCGCAGGCGGUUUUGUAAGUCUGACGUGAAAUCCCCGGGCUCAACCUGGGAAUUGCGUUGGAGACUGCAAGGCUAGAAUCUGGCAGAGGGGGGUAGAAUUCCACGUGUAGCAGUGAAAUGCGUAGAGAUGUGGAGGAACACCGAUGGCGAAGGCAGCCCCCUGGGUCAAGAUUGACGCUCAUGCACGAAAGCGUGGGGAGCAAACAGG
rnacentral:rRNA from 1 species